rnacentral:lncRNA from 1 species
AAAUACAACACCAACGAACCCUUGAAACUCACACAGUCACACUUCAUAUACAAUUUGAGUUUUCUGCAAAUUAUUAUCCUAUGGCGCAACUUAACAUUGCGAAGGUCUCCUUGCUAGCAUACGCCCUUGUGGCUCUCUUCGUCGUCGCCAUCACCACUGUCUCUGCUCAGGCGCCGGCACCUUCACCAGAUAAAGGAGAUGCGUUCUCUCUGCCAAUCUCCAGCGCCUUCAUUGCAACCUCUCUCCUCUUCUCAGUUUUCGCACUCUGGAAGCACUGAGUUGGAUGUCGAGUUAUUGUUCCUUUUUUAUGCUUCUUUUCGUGUAUGUGGUUUCAGUGAUGGAUUUGUGUUAUGAAGUAGAAUAUAUAUCGCGAUCUAUGGGGUUUUAGUUCUUCUGUAUGCAUUCAGAUUGUGAGAAAUAAAAUUUUUUAUUAAUUUUAUUCGUUUUGAGUGUUUCUCUUAAAUUAAAUUUCCAACUUUAAAAAUGGCAAAGAUUUGUAUAUUUUUCGGUUUGGUGCCAUAAAAGUGGAGCAUUAAUUUUUUGAAUUUCUUUUGAGAAUUAACAACCUUCUGUGUCGAUUCACAGCAUCUUUGACUUUGCUUCGUAUGCCAACACUUUUGAGCAAAAAGGAGAGUUUGCCUUAUUGUUCAG